UACGGAGGAUCCAAGCGUUAUCCGGAUUUAUUGGGUUUAAAGGGUGCGUAGGCGGCCUGUUAAGUCAGGGGUGAAAGACGGUAGCUCAACUAUCGCAGUGCCCUUGAUACUGAUGGGCUUGAAUGGACUAGAGGUAGGCGGAAUGAGACAAGUAGCGGUGAAAUGCAUAGAUAUGUCUCAGAACACCGAUUGCGAAGGCAGCUUACUAUGGUCUUAUUGACGCUGAGGCACGAAAGCGUGGGGAGUCAAACAGG
rnacentral:rRNA from 1 species